rnacentral:rRNA from 1 species
GAUGAACGCUGGCGGCGUGCCUAAUACAUGCGAGUCGAGCGAACAGAUAAGGAGCUUGCUCCUUUGACGUUAGCGGCGGACGGGUGAGUAACACGUGGAUAACCUACCUAUAAGACUGGGAUAACUUCGGGAAACCGGAGCUAAUACCGGAUAACAUAUUGAACCGCAUGGUUCAAUAGUGAAAGGCGGCUUUGCUGUCACUUAUAGAUGGAUCCGCGCCGUAUUAGCUAGUUGGUAAGGUAACGGCUUACCAAGGCAACGAUACGUAGCCGACCUGAGAGGGUGAUCGGCCACACUGGAACUGAGACACGGUCCAGACUCCUACGGGAGGCAGCAGUAGGGAAUCUUCCGCAAUGGGCGAAAGCCUGACGGAGCAACGCCGCGUGAGUGAUGAAGGUCUUCGGAUCGUAAAACUCAGUUAUCAGGGAAGAACAAAUGUGUAAGUAACUGUGCACAUCUUGACGGUACCUGAUCAGAAAGCCACGGCUAACUACGUG